rnacentral:rRNA from 1 species
GACGAACGCUGGCGGCAUGCCUAAUACAUGCAAGUCGAGCGAACAGAUGAAGUGCUUGCACUUCUGACGUUAGCGGCGAACGGGUGAGUAACACGUAAGCAAUCUACCUAUAAGCGGAGGAUAACAUUCGGAAACGGGUGCUAAUACCGCAUAAUAUCUUCUUCCGCAUGGCAGCAGAUUGAAAGACGGCUCUGCUGUCACUUAUUGAUGACCUUGCGGUGCAUUAGUUAGUUGGUGGGGUAAUGGCCUACCAAGACGAUGAUGAAUAGCCGACCUGAGAGGUUGAUCGGCAACAUUGGGACUGAGACACGGCCCAAACUCCUACGGGAGGCAGCAGUAGGGAUUCUUCCGCAAUGGGCGAAAGCCUGACGGAGCAAUGCCGCGUGAGUGAAGAAGGCCUUCGGGUCGUAAAACUCUGUUAUAAGAGAAGAACAAAUUGUAGAGUAACUGCUACAGUCUUGACGGUAUCUUAUCAGAAAGCCACGGCUAACUACGUGCCAGCAGCCGCCGUAA